CGGCUGAGCAGCCGGGACACUCCGGGUUACCCCUCAGCAGUCCGGGUCAUGUCAUCAUCCCUCGGCUGAGCGCGGCGCGCCCGGUGCUCUGAGGGGACGGGGGAUGCGCGGGGCUCGGCCCUGCCUGAGGGGCAGCGGCCGGGCCGUGUGGGAGCGCAGGGCUCGGGCUGUGGGUACUGCGGGCUUGGGGAGCUCGGAGCUGUUUGGCCAACGUAAAUACACCGGUGUGACCUGGGUUGGGCUCUCCUCACAGGCUGCCCGGAGUCUGUGUCUCUCCUUAAGGCUUUUGAGAUCCCUGCCCCGUUAAAGCACCUGUGCCAUGUGUGAGGAAACAUCGUUCCCUAAGCGGAGAAUCUCAGUCCUGAAGUUAAUUGUCACUGCUUUGUGAGAUUCAGGAGGACCUUCAGAAGCUUAAAAUGGAAAAAAACAACUUGAAAGGAAAUGCAGAAGCUGUGGAUAUAUGUGACCCCAGAAAAGCCACUGAAAGGACUGAACUUGGGCUGAGAAAACAUGCUGAAAAUUAUUUCAAUGUUACAAAUGGCCAAGAGUUAACUCUUUCCUCAGCUGGUAAUAAAGAAGUAAAUUCCAAAGAGCCCCCUAAGUGGUCUCUGCCUGUUUCUCUGCCCACCAGGAAUCCUCCUUCUGGUGCCUGUCAGCAGCAGCUGGUUCUGCCCCGCGUGGAGCCCGUGGCUGUGCAGAGGUGCAGCAGAUCAGCCCCACGUGUGUGCCAGGGCCCUCAGGUCUGACAUCACACCCUGAUCCUUCUGCACAGCCCAGGAGUGCUCGGUGUCCUGUGCAUCCCAUCGUGCUGUGACUGCCGUGGAGUCAGGGGUUGAGAGCACCCCGUGAUGAAAGGGUUAAAAUCCUCAGCAGAAGGAGUGGCUGAGAUGGGAACCUUCUCCCAGCCCAGGAUGGCAUUUAACUUGGGAGAGGUCCCAGUGUCAUCCUUGCAGGUGUGGAACUGGCACUUCCCACCCACCCAAGCUGACAAAGUCACUUUUAUCAGAUGGUUUUUUAUUAAUAAUUCCAAUUCUUGUUAUCCUGUGUGGCACCUUUCCCCCCUGCACUGAUCAUUUCCCUGUCAGCCUGAGUGAGGACUUUGCAUUGGGAAUUAUCUCCUGCUUUAAUUGAAAGGUGCUCAAUUCCCCCAGUUCUGCUUUUUAAUAGCAGCAGCAGUUUCCUCCCUGCAUAACGGUGUGUUAUGGUAAUAAAAUAAAUACCACAAAAGCA
rnacentral:lncRNA from 1 species